rnacentral:rRNA from 1 species
ACACGGGUGAGUAACACGUGAGUAACCUGCCCUCCACUCUGGGAUAAGCGCUGGAAACGGCGUCUAAUACUGGAUAUGACCGACCCUCGCAUGGGGUGUUGGUGGAAAGAUUUAUCGGUGGUGGAUGGACUCGCGGCCUAUCAGCUUGUUGGUGGGGUAAUGGCCUACCAAGGCGACGACGGGUAGCCGGCCUGAGAGGGCGACCGGCCACACUGGGACUGAGACACGGCCCAGACUCCUACGGGAGGCAGCAGUGGGGAAUAUUGCACAAUGGGCGAAAGCCUGAUGCAGCGACGCCGCGUGAGGGAUGACGGCCUUCGGGUUGUAAACCUCUUUCAGCAGGGAAGAAGCUUUUGUGACGGUACCUGCAGAAGAAGCACCGGCUAACUACGUGCCAGCAGCCGCGGUAAUACGUAGGGUGCGAGCGUUGUCCGGAAUUAUUGGGCGUAAAGAGCUUGUAGGCGGUUUGUCGCGUCUGCUGUGAAAAUUCAGGGCUUAACCCUGGACGUGCAGUGGGUACGGGCAGACUAGAGUGUGGUAGGGGAGACUGGAAUUCCUGGUGUAGCGGUGGAAUGCGCAGAUAUCAGGAGGAACACCGAUGGCGAAGGCAGGUCUCUGGGCCAUUACUGACCUAAACGAAACUUGGGAGCGAAAAGAUAAAUCCUGUUUCCACCCAAACUUGGGCCUGGUGUUCUUCCAAAUCUGUUCAUAACCAUACCCCCCGGGGACGCGCGGAAACAAGAAGGCCAGGGUUCGUACAAACCAGUUCGACUAGUGUUUG